CCUACGGGAGGCUGCAGUGGGGAAUAUUGGACAAUGGGGGGAACCCUGAUCCAGCCAUGCCGCGUGUGUGAAGAAGGCCCUCGGGUUGUAAAGCACUUUCAGUGAGGAAGAACGCCUGGUGGUUAAUACCCAUCAGGAAAGACAUCACUCACAGAAGAAGCACCGGCUAACUCCGUGCCAGCAGCCGCGGUAAUACGGAGGGUGCGAGCGUUAAUCGGAAUUACUGGGCGUAAAGCGCGCGUAGGUGGCUUGAUAAGCCGGUUGUGAAAGCCCCGGGCUCAACCUGGGAACGGCAUCCGGAACUGUCAAGCUAGAGUGCAGGAGAGGAAGGUAGAAUUCCCGGUGUAGCGGUGAAAUGCGUAGAGAUCGGGAGGAAUACCAGUGGCGAAGGCGGCCUUCUGGACUGAAACUGACACUGAGGUGCGAAAGCGUGGGUAGCAAACAGGAUUAGAUACCCGUGUAGUC
rnacentral:rRNA from 1 species